UUUUCACACCCAUAUCAGCUGCCAGCACCAGUGUCAUGACCUGGAUUCAAAGAUGCUUUCUAAACCCCUGAUUACAUGGCCUACUUCCUGGCUAUGGAAAUGAGGCCAGGUGGAUUCUAUUUAAAAGUCUGCUAAAGACCAUAGCUAAAAUAGCUGACAACAUUACCAGACCACGGGGACUUAAAGGUUUCACAGUGGCUCUGUGGCUGAGAGAUGUGCUGGCUUUAUCUCUGUGUUUUAUGUUUCAUUUGUUAAUAGGAUUUUAGGAAUCUUACUGGUGUGGUGCCUCUCCCCUUCUCGUUGCCAGGCAGUUCCUCCCUCAAUGUUUGUGGGGAAUCUUUAGCCUUUUUAUAGACCAGAUUGCCACUAACACAGCACCCUGGCUUUCCUCCACUACCCUGCUCCAAAGAAGCUACAAGCAAUUUCCAAGUACCCCUAAAAUCACAGCAAACUGAGGAGAGAUGCUCAGUGAGAACAAGGACAUAUUCCUGCUUCCAAGCACCUGCCCACACCACAGCUGAAGCAUUAGCUGGGUUUUACCUCCUAAACACAAAUAAUGCUUCUUACUAAAGGAUUUGCUGGACUAGACUAUGAGACUGACACAUAGCAUUUGAUCCACUGCAGAGCUAACUGUGCCAGCAGCCCCUGAAGCUGGUGAAGAAGUAAAGGUGGUAGGUACAAGGUAUUGUCCCUUUCUUAAUGUAUGCAUUUUUACAGAUAUGUUUAUCAAGCCUAGAAUUAAUAGAAAUAUUGAUGUGCUUUUUAAAAAAGGUUUACAGGGUGGGGAAAAAGUCAAGAUUUCCAAUGCCCAGUUUUAUAAAUGAGCCUUUGCAGAAUCACACCUUUGCCUGAUUCUGCAAUGAGCCUGGCUGACCUUGUGUUCAGCCUGGGUGAAAUGGAUCAAUUAAAUGAGAUUUAAAGACUUGUGCUUUUAUGCUCUUAUAGUUUUAGGGGUAGCAGAUUGGUCUGAGUAUACAAUGUGCACUUUCCUUCUGAUGAUGCAUUUUUAGAAGUGUGGAAAGAGAAAGUCUAACAAACCCAAAUUCUACUAGUCAAAUAGUGGAAAUGGCUUCCUGUCCUGAGGGGGGGUGGGGAAAGGUGCAGUAAUUCUAGAGAAAGACAUUACUUGUAUCAGUUAGCAGAUCACUGGUUUUACUAUGAAGACUCUUAGUAAAUGUGUCUGAAUAGUUUUCCUGUACCAGCCUGAGCUAUGACACAGUGUUUAUUCUGGGGCUACAAAAUACUAAAUUUUCCAGGCUUGGUUUUUUGCGAAGGCUGUCCACAAAGGACCUAAAGAAAGUAGCUUACCUCCUUGCCAGCUUGGCUGCAUCUGCUGCAGCACUUCCGUUGACUAAAAGGGACACGUUAGAUAUCGCGCCAGCCAGGAAACAGUCCACAAUGCCUUGGUUUCUCCGAGGACAAUAGCCAAAGUCAUCUCCAGUUACUAUUAGCUUCACCUGAAGCAUCCUUAGAUGUCAUCCCUGGCAAAAGAAAAAAAGUAAAAGGAGGUUAAAUCGGAACACUCGGCAGCCUGCAGAUCACAGGCAAACAGGAAAAGAGAGGCUUACCGCGGGCGAACCCAGUGGUGACUCAGCCCCUGACUAACUCGUGCUCCACCUCAGCCCGCCGCAGUCUCGCAGCUCGCUCUGCGGUAGCAUUUGCGUGUGGCCGGCGGGCUCGCACCAUCCCUGCCUGCUCCUCCCCGAGAGCAGCAGCCGUGCCCUCCCCUGUGGGGCCAAACCCUUGCGUGCACUGUGUACCUCUGGCGAUGAGAAGCGUGCGAAAUCUCAGGGACUUGGUGGAACGAUUUAACCGAUCGAGGAAAAGCUACUCUGGAUCUACCAGAAUGAAAGUGAAAGUGCCAAGUAUUCAGCUUGAAAUGGAGAGUGGAAGAUACUGCUAGCCUUCAUUUUUCACCUGUGGAAGAGGAUGAAGUUCUAUCUAAGCAGAACAAUCCCCUCCUUGGUCUGUAGUGUUAUCCGAAAACAUUCACCCACUUCUGAUAUUGCAGGAGAAACAACAAACAAAAUGUUUGAGGUAGGGAGAAUGGCAGCUCAGAAAGUGCCAUGCUAAAAUGUCCAUGGAUCCAGGGUAGCUGUCUUGGUGUUUGCUGUAACUUGUUCCAGGAAGCAGGGAUCACACUGGGACUGGGACUCCUCCAUGGAUGAUGGUGAUUUCCACCUCUGAACCUGUGCCAGCAUGGAGGUAAGUCUAGAAACAGCUGACAAGCAAAGCACCAGCUUCCUGAAGAGCAACCAGAGUGAAAUGGGUUGGAAAAGACUUUAAGGGUAAUUUCUGUGGGAAUGAGCUGACAAUCCUGCUGCUUAAUUCAUGUAUAAAGAAACCACAGCCUCCAAGUGUCUCCUUUUUCAGCAGAGUUCAACUCCUAAAAGACAGCCAGCGUGCCCAUGCCCCAAAGUCAAGGACAUGACUUGUAGGCACAGCCAGAGACUGACCAUCUUCAGCAAAGCAAGACCCAUCAGUUUGGAGACAGAAGCACGCUUCAGCAGAGGAAACUGCACCCUGUUCACACCUGAAGUUUGAAACAUCUGUCUGGGCACAUCAACACCUGUGGGAGUAAUGGUUUUCCAGGUCUGUCUCCUAACAAGGAAUUUGGAAUCACUGAGUUGAGAGGGGAUAUUCGUGCACCUGCUACUUGCUUCCCCUUCUGGGAGAUGAACGUCACAGCCUGCCCACGUUCCCCAAGAGGCUUCACUUACUGAGGAGUGCUGUUACUGCAACAGCUGAAGUCAGCACAAUUCUGAAGUAAUGUCAUGAAUCAUAAAAUAAGCACCUCCUCUCUUUGCCAAUGCAAACUCUGGGGUUUUCUGCCUCUUUCUAGAACUGCCAGUGCUCCCUGACUCUGCACAGGUGAGAGGCACAACGUAAGAAUCUUAGACAAAGAUUGGCUUCUCAGCCUUCUUAACCUUAGUAUGCAUUUAAUGCUAUUAACAGUAACAUCCUUCUUAAAUAUUUAAUGCACUUCCUGGAGGAUUUUCUUUUCUGAUUUCAUACCUGUUUAUCCAGCUCUCCUUUCUGCUACUGGAAGUAAAUAUUCCCCAGCAAGCAAACCUCACCCCUGUGCCACAUGCCCUUAGCAGCAGUGCCCCUCUGCAGCCUGCACUCACAGCUGGCUGCAGCUGACCCCCACAGAGCCCAGAGGUGAAAGGCCCUUACAAAUUCAACCUGGAGCUGAAAGGCAAGGCAGACUUCCUCUGGACAGUCUCUUCUCUGCAGUGAAGACAGGCACAUUGGCCAGGAUUUCUGGUGGAGCUGCAUAAACCAGGACAUGGACUAAGGAGAGGCUGCAUCUUCCAGCUUAACUAAAACAAAACACAGCUCCUCCUCAGCUUAGCUGCAAAAGCCAGCAGGACCCCUCACCAUCCUCAAGUGCUUCACUGCUUUAGAGCUUGAAUAUCUAUACCUGAACUUUGAGUUAAUCAGUAGAGAUGCUGAGGUUUCCUGUAUUUCACAGAAGUAUUUUCCAACAAUUACUGCUUCCAACAAGGCAUCUGUUUACAUGUUGACAUAAAAAAUGUGUUUUCUUUUUCUUGUUCCCUUGGCUGCAGUUAGUUCAUUUGGGAUUACAAUGGUAGCACAGUAGGACUUUGUUUGUCUUUUCCUUACAUGAAAUUUUGUUGAAAGUGUGAACUCUAAAAGGCAUUGAAAAGAGACAAAGCAAAAUCCAUUUUUUAAAUGAAAAUGUGUAAACAUUUUCUUUUCUAUCCCAGCCUCAGAGGUUUUGUAAAUCUUUGAAGUUCAGUGGCUUCUGUAGAAAUGCUUAAACUACAGUUUUUCAUCCAUAGAACAGCUUCCUCCAUCCUGCAUCAAAAAGGGCUGAAACCCCCAAACUCUGGGGGAUUUCACUCUGCUAAGAGUGAAAGGCUUCCCUGGUAACCAUGUGACAUGGCCAGGCAGUACCUGUCACCUUCCUUCAUCCAUGUCUGAAACACCUGAAUUUACACCAGCACAAAACAAUGCCUGCAAGGUCUGUGGUCCUAGCAAGGUGGCUGAAAGGCAAAAUUUGCCAUUGUGACCUUCUAAUUAACUUGACGCUUGGCAUUAAAUUAUGGAGGACUGCUAAAAGCCACCAAACUCAAAUCCCUCCUGAUGCAACUAGCAGGCCUCUGGUCCUUGGUGAUACUUUGGCUCAUGGAUGGUGAGGUUUUAUCCACUCUCCCUUUUUUCAGAGGGUUAUUUUCUCUCUGAUGCAUUUCCUUAUAUGAACUAAACUACAGCAUCUGUGACUUCUAACUGGGGUUGAGAUGAUGUAAAGCCUGCACAUUCCUUUUCCAGAUAUCUCUUUGCCUGAUGUCGAGGUCUAUUAAAAUAUACAAAGACACCUGGUCAAAAAAGAGUUGAGAUGGGGAAUAUUUCUCCUAGACAAUUAAAUGAUGGGUCCAAAACAGGUACUGUUUAACUAUGCACAUUAAAAGCUAAACCUAGACUAUCUGAUUCCAUUAACUCUUUGAUUAAAUCAGGAAUUCAGUUUGACCUCUCUGAAAGUUAUUAUAAAAGCUGCAUAGAUGUUCUGUGGAAUUUUCAGAAUUACAGUAAAGUUUAUCUACCAUUGAGA